AUACGGAGGACCCGAGCGUUAUCCGGAUUUAUUGGGUUUAAAGGGUGCGCAGGCGGCCAUUUAAGUCAGCGGUUAAAUCGUGGGGCUCAACCCCAUUCUGCCGUUGAUACUGGGUGGCUUGAUUGCGGUCGAGGUUGGCGGAAUUCGUUGUGUAGCGGUGAAAUGCAUAGAUAUGACGAAGAACACCGAUUGCGUAGGCAGCUGACCAGAUCGCAAAUGACGCUCAUGCACGAAAGUGCGGGGAUCGUACAGGAUUAGAUACCCUGGUAGUCCGCACAGUAAACGAUGAAUACUUGUUUUCGGCGAUAUAAUGUCGGAGGCAAAGCGAAAGCGAUAAGUAUUCCACCUGGGGAGUACGCCGGCAACGGUGAGACUCAAAGGAAUUGACGGGG
rnacentral:rRNA from 1 species